GGGGAUGAUAUAGUAUUCUACUUGGAGACUUCGUCAUACUUUGUACCGCUAUCCGGGAGGUGCUUAUAACUUCCGCAAUCAAUAAUAAGCACCACAAUUGCUAACACUCGUGUUGCUAAGGGUCUUGUAGCUUUCAAGAAAGCUCUCGCUCCUUCUUUUAGCCCAGCUUUCGCUGCCUAAUCGAAAACCGUAGCCUCCUUUCGGGGAUGAGUGCCGGCUGGCCUGCUACAAAUCUGAGAAUGCAUCUAUCUCGUGCACCUCUUAUAUCUAGAGAUCUCUCCUCUCUGAACUUCUGAUACCUCUGGACAGAGAACGAGCAGUAUAUCCGGUCAUAUCCUCUCAAGCGUUUUUGAUUCUAUUCGAGCGAGAGAGUAUCCAAAAGAAUCUAUGAUAGUAGACGUCGAGGAUGACCUCUAAGGACAUGGGGGCGGUUCCCAUCAUCUCCACCA
rnacentral:tmRNA from 1 species